UGUGGAUCUACUAGGAGAAAUGGAUUUUACCGGGCAACGAAAUUGGAUGAAGGUUGAAGUUGAAGGAGCUCUCGAGAGCGAGGAAGGAGAGACUUCUCUUGCUCGAGAGAGAAAAUGAAGUGUGGAUCUGAUGCGCGAAAUGAGAAUGAGGAUGUGCUGACGAUGUAAUGAAGCGCUGUCGCAUGCGCUAAGGUGGCAACGAAGUAAUGAUGCAGCGUGGAAGAGUAACAUCGUGAUGAGAGAGAAGCACUUGGAAUGGAAACUGAGAGUGAGGAAAUGUGCCUUGGAAGGUGGCUAGAGGAAGUCUUUGGACUCUCUAGCCUCUGACUUUCAAGAGAGAAUUAUUUCUAAAGGUCAAAAAAUCAAAUACUCAUUUAUCUCAAAAGUAAGGAAUAUAAGA
rnacentral:lncRNA from 1 species